AUGCCGCCAGCCGCCGCUUCGUGGUCGUGGGCGUACUGCGGCUGCUGGAGGAAGAGCGCCAGAGGCGGUGCCAGCACCUACGCGUCUGGGCAGGAGGGGGACCAGUGGACGCUCUUCAUCGACCUGCCCGUGCUGGAGGCCGCCACGGCCGACCUCUCAGACCGACGACCGCAACCUCCUCGACUGCGUUGGUCGUGGCUGUCAAUGGCUCUUCCACAUCGGCCGCCGCUAGCGACAGGGCAAAAGGAAGAGGCGGUGCUGGAGACGCAACCGCGGCAGCAACAGUUGUCUUCUUCAUCGCCGCCGCCUUCAAUUAUUUCACCAGAGCCAAAGCCGACGGGUCGUGUGCGGCCGCUUCGCUGCUCCGCCAUGAGGCUUGGCGGCAGCACGGGUCUUCUUGGACUCCGUCAUGGAGAGGAGCGCGGGAGCGACGGCGAGUGUUUCGGGAUCGACGGCGGGGUUGGAGGCACCGGCCAUGGCACGUGGCGGCUGACGGCCGGCGAAGCCGCCGGUUUUCCGGCUGGGUACGGGAGGGAAAAUGACCGCGCGCGAAGGGCCCGAGCCCGGCCCGAUCUGCCCGUCGGGCUUGAUUUGCAGGCCCAAACCCGGCCCGAUGGCAUGUUCGGGCUUAGCCAGGCCCGGGAUUUUCGGGCUGGGUCGGGUCGGGCCGUCCGGGCCGAGCUGCCCGUGGCCAGGUCUACCUAUUAUAUGGCUGCUAUUGGAGAUGCUCUAACGGGCGACACACUUAAAAUAGAAGCUCCUCCGAUGAAGGACGGCCGCCCGCACGACGCGACGGCUAACCGCCGCUUGACCCGUGGGAGCGAAGUCAAGCACGCGCUUGCCCAUGUCGCGCGCGCACACACACACGACAGCGGCCGGCCAGACGGAGACCCGUCGUCGCGGUUGACGUUGAAUUCCACCGCGCGCGCAGCAGCUAGGACACACUUGUCGCUCGCUGCUGCUCGACAGCCGAACCCAUCUGCGCCGUACGCGCGUGGCCCGGUCCGGCCGGCGGCCCCGACGUCGCGCCGCCAGAGUCUUUCUCUGACUGUUUGGCGCGUGAGCGAGCGAGCAGGGAAGUCUUUCUCUGCUGUCCCCGGCGGCGUGGGGUGCCUGGUCUUUGGUUGUGCUAGCUAA
rnacentral:rRNA from 1 species